CCCAGACUCCUACGGGAGGCAGCAGUCGGGAAUAUUGCGCAAUGGAGGGAACUCUGACGCAGUGACGCCGCGUGCAGGAAGAAGGUUUUCGGAUUGUAAACUGCUUUAGACAGGGAAGAUAAUGACAGUACCUGUAGAAUAAGCUCCGGCUAACUACGUGCCAGCAGCCGCGGUCAUACGUAGGAUCCGAGCAUUAUCCGGAGUGACUGGGUGUAAAGAGUUGCGUAGGUGGCAUAAUAAGUAGCUAGUGAAAUCUGGUGGCUCAACCAUUCAGACUAUUAGCUAAACUGUUAAGCUCGAGACCGUUAGGGGUAACUGGAAUUUCUAGUGUAGGAGUGAAAUCCGUAGAUAUUAGAAAGAACACCAAUAGCGUAGGCAGGUUACUGGGACGGUUCUGACACUAAGGCACGAAAGCGUAGGGAGCAAACGGGAUUAGAUACCCUGGUACCC
rnacentral:rRNA from 1 species